GACGAACGCUGGCGGCGUGCUUAACACAUGCAAGUCGAACGGAAAGGCCCUGCUUUUGUGGGGUGCUCGAGUGGCGAACGGGUGAGUAACACGUGAGUAACCUGCCCUUGACUUUGGGAUAACUUCAGGAAACUGGGGCUAAUACCGGAUAGGAGCUCCUGCUGCAUGGUGGGGGUUGGAAAGUUUCGGCGGUUGGGGAUGGACUCGCGGCUUAUCAGCUUGUUGGUGGGGUAGUGGCUUACCAAGGCUUUGACGGGUAGCCGGCCUGAGAGGGUGACCGGCCACAUUGGGACUGAGAUACGGCCCAGACUCCUACGGGAGGCAGCAGUGGGGAAUAUUGCACAAUGGGCGGAAGCCUGAUGCAGCAACGCCGCGUGCGGGAUGACGGCCUUCGGGUUGUAAGCCGCUUUCGCCUGUGACGAAGCGUGAGUGACGGUAAUGGGUAAAGAAGCACCGGCUAACUACGUGCCAGCAGCCGCGGUGAUACGUAGGGUGCGAGCGUUGUCCGGAUUUAUUGGGCGUAAAGGGCUCGUAGGUGGUUGAUCGCGUCGGAAGUGUAAUCUUGGGGCUUAACCCUGAGCGUGCUUUCGAUACGGGUUGACUUGAGGAAGGUAGGGGAGAAUGGAAUUCCUGGUGGAGCGGUGGAAUGCGCAGAUAUCAGGAGGAACACCAGUGGCGAAGGCGGUUCUCUGGGCCUUUCCUGACGCUGAGGAGUGAAAGCGUGGGGAGCGAACAGGCUUAGAUACCCUGGUAGUCCACGCUGUAAACGGUGGGUACUAGGUGUGGGGUCCAUUCCACGGGUUCCGUGCCGUAGCUAACGCUUUAAGUACCCCGCCUGGGGAGUACGGCCGCAAGGCUAAAACUCAAAGGAAUUGACGGGGCCCCGCACAAGCGGCGGAGCAUGCGGAUUAAUUCGAUGCAACGCGUAGAACCUUACCUGGGUUUGACAUGGAUCGGGAGUGCUCAGAGAUGGGUGUGCCUCUUUUGGGGUCGGUUCACAGGUGGUGCAUGGCUGUCGUCAGCUCGUGUCGUGAGAUGUUGGGUUAAGUCCCGCAACGAGCGCAACCCUUGUUCACUGUUGCCAGCACGUUAUGGUGGGGACUCAGUGGAGACCGCCGGGGUCAACUCGGAGGAAGGUGGGGAUGACGUCAAGUCAUCAUGCCCCUUAUGUCCAGGGCUUCACGCAUGCUACAAUGGCUGGUACAGAGAGUGGCGAGCCUGUGAGGGUGAGCGAAUCUCGGAAAGCCGGUCUCAGUUCGGAUUGGGGUCUGCAACUCGACCUCAUGAAGUCGGAGUCGCUAGUAAUCGCAGAUCAGCAACGCUGCGGUGAAUACGUUCCCGGG
rnacentral:rRNA from 1 species